GUCCGAUAAGUGAUCCAGAACCUAGGACAAUAUUUGCUAACCAUUGUGCCCAAUCCGCAAUCAACUGUGAUAAUAUCAACGUCCAGUGGAUGCCUUCCCUCCUCUGUUCAGCAUUCCAAAUAUCUUCUAUUGUGAGUCCCCUCACUGCUGUAGGCAUAUCAUCGUGUUCGCGAGUACCAAGUAGAGGUUCGCUCAAGCCAUCAUAACCUGACGAGUCAAAAUGCUCUUCCCUUUUUCCAUCAACAUCCCCGUGAUGAAGUCUCCUCCUCAAAGUUCUUGCCGACAUGAAUCAAA
rnacentral:misc_RNA from 1 species